rnacentral:rRNA from 1 species
UUAUUAAAUGGCCGCGGUAUUCUGACCGUGCAAAGGUAGCAUAAUCAUUAGUUUAUUAAUUGUUAACUGGAAUGAAUGGUUGGACGAAAUAUUAACUGUCUCUCUUUAUUAAUUAGAAUUUAAAAUUUUAGUUAGAAUGCUUAAAAAUUUUUAAGGGACGAGAAGACCCUAUAGAUCUUUAUUAUAUAUUAUUAUUUUAUAUUUAGUUUAUUUCUUUAUAUUAUAAUAUAUUUUUUUGUUGGGGUGAUAUUGAGAUAUAAUUAACUCUUUUUUUUUAUAUUCAUUUAUUUAUGUUUUAUUGAAGCUAUAUUUUGAUAAAAGAUUAGAUACCUUAGGGAUAACAGCGUAAUCUUUUUUGAGAGUUCAUAUCGACAAUAAGGGUUGCGACCUCGAUGUUGGAUUAAGGUUAUUAUUAGGUGUAGAUGUUUAAUAAAUAAGUCUGUUCGACUUUUAAAUCCUUACAUGAUCUGAGUUCAAACCGGAG